rnacentral:lncRNA from 1 species
AACUGAUGUUAAUUUUGUAGUUCCUCCAAAUGGCCUAAACUAAGGAUGUAACUGGAACAUAAUCAUUUGAAACCAUUCUACCAGCAAAAUGGUUUCAGAGUACAACUCUCUGAAACCAUUUUACCAGCUAAAUGGUUUUAGAGUACAACUCUCUGAAACCAUUCUAAAAUCAAUUUUAAACACCUCAAUAAAAAAAGCCUAACAUACACAGUGAUUAGAAACAGAAAAUGGAUCAUGUGCCUUUCUAAAGGUGAGAUUUGUUAAGGUCCAACUCAAAAAUGGAUCAUUUAAGCAACAAAAAAUUCAUAGAAGAAACAUACAUUUAAUGAGAUAUAAACAAUAGGAAUAGACCAAAAAAUGUAUCUUAGAAUUUGAUCUGAAUAUGCAUAUGAAACCUGAAUAUGGUUUCCCUAAAUUGAAGCCAUUUACCUAAACCAAUGGUUUCAAUAUGUUCCUACACAACUCAGUAAGAAAAGGUGUAGUGUUUGCGUUUCCUGACCAGCUCGUUUGGCAUCCCCUUUCGAACAUAAAAAACCUUGUCAUUUGCAUCAUGAUCAUUCUUUUUUUUUCCUUACUCACAACAUUAUGGUUUCACAAGCUUGUAUAAGUAUGCACUAUUGGUAAAACUGUAAGUAUCAUAAAAUACAUUCAUAAAUCAUAAUAAAGCC